UACCAGCACCCCGAGUGGUCGGGACGAUUAUUGGGCCUAAAGCAUCCGUAGCCGGUCCUACAAGUCUUCCGUUAAAUCCACCUGCUUAACAGAUGGGCUGCGGAAGAUACUAUAGGGCUAGGAGGCGGGAGAGGCAAGCGGUACUCAGUGGGUAGGGGUAAAAUCCUCUGAUCCAUUGAAGACCACCAGUGGCGAAGGCGGCUUGCCAGAACGCGCUCGACGGUGAGGGAUGAAAGCUGGGGAAGCAAACCGG
rnacentral:rRNA from 1 species